CCCAAGACAAUCCAUGAAUUUCUCUUGUCCUUCAUUCCACCGGAGUCUGUCUUAUACCCAACCAGAUUUCAGUGGAGUGAAGUUCAGGAGGCAUGGAGCAGA
rnacentral:pre_miRNA from 15 species